rnacentral:rRNA from 1 species
ACUCAAAUGAAUUGACGGGGGCCCGCACAAGCGGUGGAACAUGUGGUUUAAUUCGAUGCAACGCGAAGAACCUUAUCCUGGACUUGACAUCCUCGGAAUCCUGCAGAAAUGCGGGAGUGCCUUCGGGAAUCGAGAGACAGGUGGUGCAUGGUUGUCGUCAGCUCGUGUCGUGAGAUGUUGGGUUAAGUCCCGCAACGAGCGCAACCCUCGUUGUCUGUUGCUACAGGCUGAAAAGUGCUGAGAACUCAGGCAAGACUGCCGGUGACAAACCGGAGGAAGGUGGGGAUGACGUCAAAUCCUCAUGCCCCUUAUGUCCAGGGCUACACACGUGUUACAAUGGGACAGGACAACGGGCUGCCUGCCAGCAAUGGUUAGCUAAUCCCUUAAACCUGCCCUCAGUUCGGAUUGGAGUCUGCAACUCGACUCCAUGAAGUCGGAAUCGCUAGUAAACGCGGAUCAGCAUUGCCGCGUUGAAUACGUUCCCGGGCCUUGUACACACCGCCCGU